rnacentral:rRNA from 1 species
UCGGGAAUUUUGGGCAAUGGGCGAAAGCCUGACCCAGCAACGCCGCGUGAAGGAUGAAGUAUUUCGGUAUGUAAACUUCGAAAGAAUAGGAAGAAUAAAUGACGGUACUAUUUAUAAGGUCCGGCUAACUACGUGCCAGCAGCCGCGGUAAUACGUAGGGACCAAGCGUUGUUCGGAUUUACUGGGCGUAAAGGGCGCGUAGGCGGCAAUUCAAGUCAUCUGUGAAAUCUCCGGGCUUAACUCGGAACGGUCAGAUGAUACUGCUUUGCUAGAGUGCAGAAGGGGCAAUCGGAAUUCUUGGUGUAGCGGUGAAAUGCGUAGAUAUCAAGAGGAACACCAGAGGCGAAGGCGGCGACCUGGACAGGUACUGACACUAAACUACGAAAGCGUGGGGAGCAAACAGGAUUAGAUACCCCUGUAGUCCCUGAGCGGGCUGGCAAGGCGCAU